rnacentral:rRNA from 1 species
UACAGAGGUCUCGAGCGUUAGUCGGAGUCACUGGGCUUAAAGCGUACGUAGGCGGGCGCGCAGGCGUCGUGUGAAAGCCCUCAGCUCAACUGAGGAACUGCACGGCGAACCGCGCGUCUUGAGACAAGUAGGGGCGGUCGGAACGAUAGGUGGAGUGGUGAAAUGCGUUGAUAUCUAUCGGAAUGCCGAAGGAGAAAUCAGGCCGCUGGGCUUGUUCUGACGCUGAGGCACGAAAGCGUGGGGAGCGAACAGG